CAUCGUGUUUCUUAUGUCAGUUCCACAACCUCGUUUAUAAAUCAGUUCGUUGACACAAGGCUCCCGCCGCACUGUCGCCUGGUCUCCGCAGGAGGUGACGAGGAGCUUUCGGUAACCGUAGGUGUGGUGAAAGGAGGAAGUUACCAGCCAAGAAAUGAAGACCAGUCUUUAGUUAUACAACUAAAGCUUCUUCUGAAAGAGUGAUGAUCCAGUGAGGAGCUGAACUAUUACAGUUCCCAGUGGCAUAGCUGUUUCUUUGGUCCAUGCUCAAGUUCUGCCAAUGGUGUGAAGGAAUUGGUCCAACAGUGAAACAUGCAAGAUGAACAGAAGGCUUUUACCUAUUGCAAAAGACAUGUCAGAAUCAGAGACAAAAUGAGAGGAGGAAAUCAAGAGGGCCUUGCCUUUCUUCUCAGCACAAAAAGAGGUGAGAAAUCCUUCCUCUUUCUGCAUACAGAGCUCAGGUGUGGCUGUCCUGUAUCAACAGUAGAAGUCAGGUGCAACACAGAGCUGCUCAUGACACAGUAAGGAGGUAUAGUUUAACUGCGAUUGCAUUUUCCUCCCUCAUAUUGUUUGUUCUCUGUACUGCUGUAUUGGUGCAGUCACACAGAGUGCAUGUUAUUUCUGCUAGAUACCAUUUGGGCAAGAACUGGGAGUUCUAGAUCUCUGGAAAUCCCAGCAUGAGCUCAAUAAAAUUUUUCAGUUUUGAAAGCGGCAUAUGGUUUGAGCCCAUUUGAGUUCAUAGGAAUCUCUCAAGUGAGCACUGCUCAGGACAGGCUCAAAUACAACUUUGCAGCCAUUCUAUUUGCUCCUUGACAAUACCACUGACUAAGUCUCCUGUGAUUUUGUGCUGUUUUUUCUGUGUGAUCAGAGCCAAUCCCAUCCCUAGGGAUCUUUAUAUCCACAGCCAGUCCUUUCUUUCUAUUGUUAGUUGACGAGGCUUCCUGCUUUGAGGCUGCCAUCUGUAUGUGACUGUAAGUAGCUCAAGAAAUGGCUGUAAGGAAAGACACAGCAAUGUUUGGGCACAGGGUAAAGGCAAAUGUCAGCAAGGAACAAGUUUGUAAUUAUUAGCCUGUCUAAUAAAGGUUAUUCCAAGCAAAGAGGGGUUGGGGCUCUUGUAUCUGAGAAUCACAGUUCUGCAAAAUCAUUCCCUCAAGCCCAAA